rnacentral:rRNA from 1 species
GACGAACGCUGGCGGCGUGCCUAAUACAUGCAAGUCGAACGCAGUGGGGACGGGUGAGUAACACGUGGGUAACCGCCCAUCAGAGGGGAUAACACUUGGACACAGGUGCUAUAGCGAUACUGAUGGAUGGACCCGCGGUGCAUUGGCAAGUUGGUGGGGUAACGGCUUACCAAGGCGACGAUGCAUAGCCGACCUGGGAGGUGGAUCGGCCACACGGGAACUGAGACACGGCCCAGACUCCUACGGAAGGCAGCAGUGGGGAAUAUUCGGCAAUGGACGAAAGUCUGACCGAGCAAUGCCGCGUGAGUGAAGAAGGUUUUCGGAUUGUAAAACUCUGUUGUUAGGGAAGCGGUAUCUAAACAGAAAGCACCGGCUAACUACGUGCCAGCAGCCGCGGUAAUUC